rnacentral:lncRNA from 1 species
GUCCCUAACAUGGCUGUGGGGGCGCAUAUGGGCGCUGUAUGGCCUCUCCCCCCAUCCGGUCUACAAAUAACCGGACCUUCGACCUUGCUCAUGUUAGGGUGAGGUUCUCCUCCUGUCCCUAACAUGACUGUGGGGGCGCAUAUGGAUGCUGUAUGGCCUCUCCCUGAUCCAGUCUACAAAUAACUGGACCUUCGACCUUGCUCA